CACACGACUCUCGGCAACGGAUAUCUCGGCUCUCGCAUCGAUGAAGAACGUAGCGAAAUGCGAUACCUGGUGUGAAUUGCAGAAUCCCGGGAACCAUCGAGUCUUUGAACGCAAGUUGCGCCCGAGGCCAUUCGGCCGAGGGCACGCCUGCCUGGGCGUCACGC
rnacentral:rRNA from 1 species